UACGUAGGGGGCGAGCGUUGUCCGGAAUCAUUGGGCGUAAAGCGGGUGUAGGUGGCUCUGUAAGUCAGGAGUGAAAGCCCCGAGCUUAACUUGGGAAGUGCUUUUGAUACUGCAGAACUGAGUGUGGGAGAGGAUCGUGGAAUUCCAGGUGUAGUGGUGAAAUACGUAGAUAUCUGGAGGAACACCGGUGGCGAAGGCGGCCAUCUGGACGACUACUGACGCUGAGACGCGAAAGCGUGGGGAGCAAACAGG
rnacentral:rRNA from 1 species